rnacentral:rRNA from 1 species
UACGUAGGGCGCAAGCGUUGUCCGGAAUUAUUGGGCGUAAAGAGCUCGUAGGCGGUUUGUCGCGUCUGCUGUGAAAACCUAAGGCUCAACCUUGGGCUUGCAGUGGGUACGGGCAGACUAGAGUGCGGUAGGGGUGACUGGAAUUCCUGGUGUAGCGGUGGAAUGCGCAGAUAUCAGGAGGAACACCGGUGGCGAAGGCGGGUCUCUGGGCAGUAACUGACGCUGAGGAGCGAAAGCGUGGGGAGCGAACAGG